rnacentral:rRNA from 1 species
UAGGGAAUCUUCGGCAAUGGGGGGAACCCUGACCGAGCAACGCCGCGUGAGUGAAGAAGGUUUUCGGAUCGUAAAGCUCUGUUGUUAAGGAAGAACGAGUGUGAGAAUGGAAAGUUCAUGCUGUGACGGUACUUAACCAGAAAGGGACGGCUAACUACGUGCCAGCAGCAGCGGUAAUACGUAGGUCCCGAGCGUUGUCCGGAUUUAUUGGGCGUAAAGCGAGCGCAGGCGGUUAGAAAAGUCUGAAGUGAAAGGCAGUGGGUCAACCAUUGUAGGCGUUGGCAACUGUUUAACUUGAGUGCAGAAGGGGAGAGUGGAACUCCAUGUGUAGCGGUGAAAUGCGUAGAUAUAUGGAGGAACACCGGUGGCGAAAGCGGCUCUCUGGUCUGUAACUGACGCUGAGGCUCGAAAGCGUGGGGAGCGAACAGG